rnacentral:rRNA from 1 species
AGUGAACGCUGGCGGUAGGCCUAACACAUGCAAGUCGAACGGCAGCACAGUAAGAGCUUGCUCUUACGGGUGGCGAGUGGCGGACGGGUGAGGAAUACAUCGGAAUCUACUUUUUCGUGGGGGAUAACGUAGGGAAACUUACGCUAAUACCGCAUACGACCUACGGGUGAAAGCAGGGGAUCUUCGGACCUUGCGCGAUUGAAUGAGCCGAUGUCGGAUUAGCUAGUUGGCGGGGUAAAGGCCCACCAAGGCGACGAUCCGUAGCUGGUCUGAGAGGAUGAUCAGCCACACUGGAACUGAGACACGGUCCAGCCUCCUACGGGAGGCAGCAGUGGGGAAUAUUGGACAAUGGGCGCAAGCCUGAUCCAGCCAUACCGCGUAGGUGAAGAAGGCCUUCGGGUUGUAAAGCCCUUUUGUUGGGAAAGAAAAGCAGCAGGUUAAUACCCCGCUGUUCUGACGGUACCCAAAGAAUAAGCACCGGCUAACUUCGUG